rnacentral:rRNA from 1 species
GGGGAAUAUUGCACAAUGGGCGCAAGCCUGAUGCAGCCAUGCCGCGUGUGUGAAGAAGGCCUUCGGGUUGUAAAGCACUUUCAGCGGGGAGGAAGGCGGUGAGGUUAAUAACGUCACCGAUUGACGUUACCCGCAGAAGAAGCACCGGCUAACUCCGUGCCAGCAGCCGCGGUAAUACGGAGGGUGCAAGCGUUAAUCGGAAUUACUGGGCGUAAAGCGCACGCAGGCGGUCUGUCAAGUCGGAUGUGAAAUCCCCGGGCUCAACCUGGGAACUGCAUUCGAAACUGGCAGGCUAGAGUCUUGUAGAGGGGGGUAGAAUUCCAGGUGUAGCGGUGAAAUGCGUAGAGAUCUGGAGGAAUACCGGUGGCGAAGGCGGCCCCCUGGACAAAGACUGACGCUCAGGUGCGAAAGCGUGGGGAGCAAAC